rnacentral:rRNA from 1 species
CGAGUUUGAUCAAUGGCUCAGAUUGAACGCUGGCGGCAUGCUUUACACAUGCAAGUCGAACGGUAACAGGGACUUCGGUCUGCUGACGAGUGGCGAACGGGUGAGUAACAUAUCGGAACGUGCCCAGUAAUGGGGGAUAGCUCGGCGAAAGCCGGAUUAAUACCGCAUACGCCCUGAGGGGGAAAGUGGGGGAUCUUCGGACCUCACGUUAUUGGAGCGGCCGAUAUCGGAUUAGCUAGUUGGUGGGGUAAAGGCCUACCAAGGCGACGAUCCGUAGCUGGUCUGAGAGGAUGAUCAGCCACACUGGGACUGAGACACGGCCCAGACUCCUACGGGAGGCAGCAGUGGGGAAUUUUGGACAAUGGGCGAAAGCCUGAUCCAGCCAUGCCGCGUGAGUGAAGAAGGCCUUCGGGUUGUAAAGCUCUUUCAGGUGGAAAGAAAGCGGAUGGGCUAAUACCCUGUUCGGAUGACGGUACCACCAGAAGAAGCACCGGCUAACUACGUG